rnacentral:ncRNA from 1 species
GGUAGGGUCCAGUGGCCGGAAGAGCACCGCACAUCGCGCGGUGUCCGGUGCGCCCCCGGAGGCCCAUGAAAUUCCGGAGGACCGAGUACCAUUCACGCCCGGUCGUACUCAUAACCCCAUCAGGUCUCCAAGGUGGACAACCUCUGGCCAAUGCAACAAUGUAGGCAAAGACAAUGGGAAUCCGAUUAUUUAAUCAAAACAAAGCAUUGCGAUGGUCCUCCCGAAUGGUGACGCAAUGUGAUUUCUGCCCAGUGCUCUGAUACGUCUCAAACGUAU